rnacentral:rRNA from 1 species
AGGGUUCGAUUCUGGCUCAGAUUGAACGCUGGCGGCGUGCUUAACACAUGCAAGUCGCGCGUGAAAGGGCUUCGGCCCAAGUAAAGCGGCGCACGGGUGAGUAACGCGUGGAUGAUCUACCCAUGAGUUGGGAAUAACGGCUGGAAACGGUCGCUAAUACCGAAUACGCUCCGAUUUCAACGUUCGGGGGAAAGGUGGCCUCUGCUUGCAAGCUACUGCUCAUGGAUGAGUCCGCGUCCCAUUAGCUAGUUGGUGGGGUAACGGCCCACCAAGGCGACGAUGGGUAGCCGGUCUGAGAGGAUGACCGGCCACACUGGGACUGGAACACGGCCCAGACUCCUACGGGAGGCAGCAGUGGGGAAUAUUGCGCAAUGGGCGAAAGCCUGACGCAGCGACGCCGCGUGAGGGGAAUGAAGGUCCUCGGAUCGUAAACCUCUGUCAGGAGGGAAGAACCGCCACGGUGCUAAUCAGCCGUGGUCUGACGGUACCUCCAAAGGAAGCACCGGCUAACUCCGUGCCAGCCGCUGC